GCCCGUCACACCAUGGGAGUGGGUUGCUCCAGAAGUAGCUAGUCUAACCGCAAGGGGGACGGUUACCACGGAGUGAUUCAUGACUGGGGUGAAGUCGUAACAAGGUAGCCGUAGGGGAACCUGCGGCUGGAUCACCUCCUUAAUCGAAGAUCUCAGCUUCUUCAUAAGCUCCCACACGAAUUGCUUGAUUCACUGGUUAGACGAUUGGGUCUGUAGCUCAGUUGGUUAGAGCGCACCCCUGAUAAGGGUGAGGUCGGCAGUUCGAAUCUGCCCAGACCCACCAAUUGUUGGUGUGCUGCGUGAUCCGAUACGGGGCCAUAGCUCAGCUGGGAGAGCGCCUGCUUUGCACGCAGGAGGUCAGGAGUUCGAUCCUCCUUGGCUCCACCAUCCAAACAAUCGUCGAAAGCUCAGAAAUGAAUGUUCGUGAAUGAACAUUGAUUUCUGGUCUUUGCACCAGAACUGUUCUUUAAAAAUUCGGGUAUGUGAUAGAAGUAAGACUGAAUGAUCUCUUUCACUGGUGAUCAUUCAAGUCAAGGUAAAAUUUGCGAGUUCAAGCGCGAAUUUUCGGCGAAUGUCGUCUUCACAGUAUAACCAGAUUGCUUGGGGUUAUAUGGUCAAGUGAAGAAGCGCAUACGGUGGAUGCCUUGGC
rnacentral:misc_RNA from 1 species